CGGGGUGCACCAGGCGCGAAAACUUUACAAUGCCGGCAACGGCGAUAAGGGAACCUCGAGUGCCAGGUUACAAAUCUGGCUGUCGUGAUGCCUAAAAAGCAUUGCAUAGCAAGGGCCGGGCAAGACCGGUGCCAGCCGCCGCGGUAACACCGGCGGCUCGAGUGGUAACCGUUAUUAUUGGGUCUAAAGGGUCUGUAGCCGGCCGGGUAAGUCUCUUGGGAAAUCUGGCAGCUUAACUGUCAGGCUUUCAGGAGAUACUGCCUGGCUCGAGGCCGGGAGAGGUGAGAGGUACUUCAGGGGUAGGGGUGAAAUCUUGUAAUCCUUGAAGGACCACCAGUGGCGAAGGCGUCUCACCAGAACGGUCCUGACGGCAAGGGACGAAAGCUAGGGGCACGAACCGGAUUAGAUACCCGGGUAGUCCUAGCCGUAAACGAUACUCGCUAGGUGUCGGCCACGGUGCGACCGUGGUCGGUGCCGUAGGGAAGCCGUGAAGCGAGCCACCUGGGAAGUACGGCCGCAAGGCUGAAACUUAAAGGAAUUGGCGGGGGAGCACAAGGGCGAUUCGCG
rnacentral:rRNA from 1 species